CCAAAGAAAGAUGGAGUGCAAAUCGAAUUGGGAUGCCAGAUCCUUUUCUGCCUCCUGGCCAGUAGGGCUGAAAUUCCUCCUUAUGUCUGGGAAAAGUGGGAAACCUGGCUGACUGCCAGCCUGCAGAUUAGGGCUGCUGAGAUGCUGUCAGCAGCAGUCUUGAUGGAUUCCCUUGUGGAGGUGCUGCUCCUUGGCCCUUCUAAUGCAGUCCUGUGCCUAAAGGUACAAAAAGAGGCUGGGGAGAUGGGAAGGAAACACAUUAAUUUUAAAUAGCAGAUUUACCUGAGGAGUUUGAAGCUCAACAUUUGCAGAGUUCUGUCACUUUCUACAAAAUCAGCCCUGACUGUCAUAUCAACAGAAGUACCUUUGUGAUGCAUAUAUAAAAUA
rnacentral:lncRNA from 1 species